UAAGUGGCGCACGGGUGAGUAACACGUGGAUUAUCUACCUUUUAGUGGGGAAUACCUCUGGGAAACCGGAGACAAUACCGCAUAAGCCUGUAAAGGGAAAGCAGCAAUGCGCUGAAAGAGGAGUCCGCGGCCGAUUAGCUAGUUGGCGGGGUAACGGCCCACCAAGGCGAAGAUCGGUAGCCGGCCUGAGAGGGCACACGGCCACACUGGCACUGAAACACGGGCCAG
rnacentral:rRNA from 1 species